CGUACCCUAGGGGCGCAGCAGUGGGGAAUAUUGGACAAUGGGGGAAACCCUGAUCCAGCGACGCCGCGUGAGUGAAGAAGUAUUUCGGUACGUAAAGCUCUAUCAGCAGGAAAGAAAAUGACGGUACCUGACUAAGAAGCCCCGGCUAACUACGUGCCAGCAGCCGCGGUAAUACGUAGGGGGCAAGCGUUAUCCGGAUUUACUGGGUGUAAAGGGAGCGUAGACGGCAGCGCAAGUCUGGAGUGAAAUGCCGGGGCCCAACCCCGGAACUGCUCUGGAAACUGUGACGGUGGAGUGCAGGAGAG
rnacentral:rRNA from 1 species